GAUGAACGCUGGCGGCGUGCCUAAUACAUGCAAGUCGAGCGAACAGACGAGGAGCUUGCUCCUCUGACGUUAGCGGCGGACGGGUGAGUAACACGUGGAUAACCUACCUAUAAGACUGGGAUAACUUCGGGAAACCGGAGCUAAUACCGGAUAAUAUAUUGAACCGCAUGGUUCAAUAGUGAAAGACGGUUUUGCUGUCACUUAUAGAUGGAUCCGCGCCGCAUUAGCUAGUUGGUAAGGUAACGGCUUACCAAGGCAACGAUGCGUAGCCGACCUGAGAGAGUGAACGGCCACACUGGAACUGAGACACGGUCCAGACUCCUACGGGAGGCAGCAUUAGGGAAUCUUCCGCAAUGGGCGAAAGCCUGACGGAGCAACGCCGCGUGAGUGAUGAAGGUCUUCGGAUCGUAAAACUCUGUUAUUAGGGAAGAACAAAUGUGUAAGUAACUAUGCACGUCUUGACGGUACCUAAUCAGAAAGCCACGGCUAACUACGUG
rnacentral:rRNA from 1 species